CAACUUUCAGCAACGGAUCUCUUGGCUCUCGCAUCGAUGAAGAACGCAGCGAAAUGCGAUAAGUAAUGUGAAUUGCAGAAUUCAGUGAAUCAUCGAAUCUUUGAACGCACCUUGCGCUCGUUGGUAUUCCGACGAGCAUGCCUGUUUGAGUGUCAUUA
rnacentral:rRNA from 1 species